GAUGAACGCUGGCGGCGUGCCUAAUACAUGCAAGUCGAGCGAACGGACGAGAAGCUUGCUUCUCUGAUGUUAGCGGCGGACGGGUGAGUAACACGUGGAUAACCUACCUAUAAGACUGGGAUAACUUCGGGAAACCGGAGCUAAUACCGGAUAAUAUUUUGAACCGCAUGGUUCAAAAGUGAAAGCCGGUCUUGCUGUCACUUAUAGAUGGAUCCGCGCUGCAUUAGCUAGUUGGUAAGGUAACGGCUUACCAAGGCAACGAUGCAUAGCCGACCUGAGAGAGUGAUCGGCCACCCGGGAACUGAGACACGGUCCAGACUCCUACGGGAGGCAGCAGUAGGGAAUCUUCCGCAAUGGGCGAAAACCUUACGGAACAACGCCGCGUGAGUGAUGAAGGUCUUCGGAUCGUAAAACUCUGUUAUUAGGUAAGAACAUAUGUGGAAGUAACUGUGCACAUCUUGACGGUACCUAAUCAGAAAGCCACGGCUAACUACGUG
rnacentral:rRNA from 1 species